AGUUGCUUACUGGGAGGGAGAAGGGAGGGGUAAGGAGGUGGGGUGGCUGGUGGAGUGCAAUUGCAUUGGUGGAGGCAAGUCAGUGUUCCUACCAGUGCAUUUGAAUCAUGCAGACCUCCCUACCACCUUGCCCCUCUCCCUUCUGGUAAGCAAC